rnacentral:rRNA from 1 species
UACGUAGGGUGCAAGCGUUAAUCGGAAUUACUGGGCGUAAAGGGUGCGCAGGUGGUUUUGUAAGUCAGAUGUGAAAUCCCCGGGCUUAACCUGGGAAUUGCGUUUGAAACUACAAGACUAGAGUGUGGCAGAGGGGGGUGGAAUUCCAUGUGUAGCAGUGAAAUGCGUAGAGAUAUGGAAGAACAUCGAUGGCGAAGGCAGCCCCCUGGGUUAACACUGACACUCAGGCACGAAAGCGUGGGGAGCAAAC